GUCGUAACAAGGUUUCCGUAGGUGAACCUGCGGAAGGAUCAUUACCGGUAUCCUCUCCCGCACCCUUUUGAGCAUUGGCGGCGCGCGUGUCUUUCGGGGCGCGCGCGUCUCAAUCUCCUCGUCUCUUCGGAGGCGUUGACAACUGGUCUUGGUUUCGUGCCAAGGCUCGUGUCAAUAGGGAUCGUGUGCGGUUUACCGCGCGCGGUUCCGCCCCCAUUGUUUGCAGCUGCUUCGGCAGUGGCAACCUACCUCAAAACACCACAACUCCUGCCGACGGAUAUCUUGGCUCUCGCAACGAUGAAGAACGCAGCGAAAUGCGAUACGUAGUGCGAAUUGCAGAAUUCAGUGAAUCAUCGAACCUUUGAACGCAUAUGGCUCUUCCAGUUUCCGACUGGAAGAAUGCCCCUUCGAGUGGAGUCACCACCCCUCCUCGGCGCGCCUCGCGCGUGUCCGGAGUCGGCCGCUGCGCGCGUCUUUUCGAGACUCGCGCACCGGCUCAAGGGCAGAGAGAGCCGCUGCGCCUCUGGUACCAUCGGGGAGCGUCCUUCCCGCUGGCGUGCUAGUACGGGCUUUUGGCCUGUUCCGGUCGCCGGCAAAGUGUGGGACGCGCUAUUUACCCGAUGCGUCUGGCGCUGGCGGCCUCCUUGCGCGAGCAGCAGCGUUUUUGAAGCGCUGUUGUCUUGCCGGUGAGGUGCCUGGCACCCUUUCUGACCCUCCAUCGAAUGGAGCAAGACUACCCGCUGAACUUAAGCAUAUCACUAAGCGGAGGAGAAGAAACUAACCAGGAUGCCCCUAGUAAUGGCGAAUGAAGCGGGCAGAGCUCACGCCGUCAAUCCGGAGGCUUUGAUUGCCCCCUGAAUUGUAGUCUGGAGAGGCGCCAUCGGCCACGCCCGGCGCUCAAGUCCCUUGGAACGGGGUAUCGGAGAAGGUGAGAAUCCUGUGCCGCGCCGGCGCGUGGCCGCACGAUGCGUUCUCGUAGAGUCGGGCUGCUUGGGAGUGCAGCCUGAAGCGGGUGGUAAAUUCCAUCUAAAGCUAAAUACUGGCGAGAGACCGAUAGCGAACAAGUACCGUGAGGGAAAGAUGCAAAGAACUUUGAAAAGAGAGUUAAAGAGUGCUUGAAAUUGGCAGGAGGAAACCCGGUUGCGCGUGGCAUCGCGCGGCGUCGACUCAGCCGUCUUCGCGGCCUGUAGGGGACCUAACGGCUCCGUGGUUGAAGAAGGCGGUGCACUUCGGCGUCGCGGGUCAGCCGCGGCUCGGCGGGGGCAAGACGGCGUUUGGCAGGGCUUCGGCGUCGCCUUUCGUGAUGGCCCGCGCUGGGCUCCGGCUGAUGCGCACGGGCGCAACCGACCCGUCUAGAAACACGGACCAAGGAGUCUGACGCGUGUGCGAGUACCCGGGUGGCAAGCCCGCGUGCGCAGUGAAAGUGAAGGGCGUGCCCCGCCAACCGACCUUGAUCUUCUGUGAAGGGUUUGAGUGGAGCACACGAGUCGGGACCCGAAAGAUGGUGAACUAUGCGUGA
rnacentral:rRNA from 1 species